rnacentral:rRNA from 1 species
AGGGCACCACCAGGAGUGGAGCCUGCGGCUUAAUUUGACUCAACACGGGGAAACUUACCCGGCCUGGACACUGGAAGGAUUGACAGAUUGAGAGCUCUUUCUUGAUUCAGUGGGUGGUGGUGCAUGGCCGUUCGUAGUUGGUGGAGCGAUUUGUCUGGUUAAUUCCGAUAACGAACGAGACUCUAGCCUAUUAAAUAGGCUCCCGGCUUUUAAACGCCGGGAGGACUUCUUAGAGGGACAGGUGGCGGUUCAGCCGCACGAAAGAGAGCAAUAACAGGUCUGUGAUGCCCUUUGUUGUCCGGGGCCGCACGCGCGCUACACUGAAGAGAUCAGCGUGCUUUAUGUUCCUGCUCCGACCGGAGUGGGGAACCCAGUGAACCUUCUUCGUGAUUGGGAUAGAAGAUUGUAAUUAUUCUUCUUGAACGAGGAAUUCCCAGUAAAUGCGAGUCAUAAGCUCGCGUUGAUUACGUCCCUGCCCUUUGUACACACCGCCCGUCGCUACUACCGAUUGAACGAUUU